CCUUCGAUAGCUCAGCUGGUAGAGCGGAGAACUGUAGUUGGUAUCUGUUAGCAAUCCUUAGGUUGCUGGUUCAAUUUCGGCUCGAAGGA
rnacentral:tRNA from 1 species